UACGGGGGGAGCAAGCGUUGUUCGGAUUUACUGGGCGUAAAGGGCGGGUAGGCGGCCACCGCAAGUCGACUGUGAAAUCUCCGGGCUUAACCCGGAAAGGUCAGCCGAUACUGCGGGGCUAGAGUGCAGAAGGGGCAACUGGAAUUCUCGGUGUAGCGGUGAAAUGCGUAGAUAUCGAGAGGAACACCUGCGGCGAAGGCGGGUUGCUGGGCUGACACUGACGCUGAUGCGCGAAAGCCAGGGGAGCGAACGGG
rnacentral:rRNA from 1 species